UGCCAGCCGCCGCGGUAAUACGGAGGGGGUUAGCGUUGUUCGGAAUUACUGGGCGUAAAGGGCGCGUAGGCGGUCUUUUAAGUUAGGCGUGAAAGCCCAGGGCUCAACCCGGGAACUGCGCUUAAGACUGGAAGACUAGAAAACGGAAGAGGGUAGUGGAAUUCCUAGUGUAGAGGUGAAAUUCGUAGAUAUUGGGAAGAACACCAGUGGCGAAAGCGACUUUCUGGCUAUUUUCUGACACUGAGGAGCGAAAGCUAGGGGAGCAAAUAGGAUUAGAUA
rnacentral:rRNA from 1 species